UGGCCAUAAUAGUAACCGGACCGGUUAAAAAACAAACGAAGCAAAUCAGUGAGUGGGGUAAUCAAAUCAGCAGCACACUCUUCUCUCUCCCCUCCCCUCAUACACGAUCCAUUUUUUUUCAUAAUUCAAAACACAAUUUGUUUUUCUCUCCCUACCUACCACAGGCACAGGCACAGCCCACCCACGGGAGGGAAGGUCUCUCCCUCUUUCUCUUCGUCUUCUUCCUCCUCCUUUUGGUUUCCUUUUGAUUGAUUGAUCUAGUAGAACACAGAAAGGAGAGAGAAAGAGAGGAGAGGCAACACAGAAACAAGAGAAGAAGAAGAAGAAGGGGAGAUCGAGAUCGAUCACGCACCGGGGGAGCAGAUCCUUCGCCUCGCCAUCAGGGAUAAGGAUUCAUGCGAAAUGCCACCUGAACUUGGAAUGUCUUCUAGAACUGUUGCUGGUGCUGUUGUAAAUAGGAGGCCUCGCCGCCUGUUUGGGAGAUCAUCAGAGAGGAAGAACCCACUCAACCUUCAGUUUGAGCGUCAAGUAGCUCGCCUCGAGGCAAGGCAGCAGCAACAGAGAUUGCAGAAAAAAAUGUUUGCAACAAAGAAUUUUACGGUCCACCUGGAAGCAAAAUGCCAUUCUAAUGUUUUUCCUCUGCCAAUCCUUGGUCGGUUAUCCUUUGUUAAUUAAUAAUUGUGGUAUUCACUUACUUGCCAGGUGUGUUAUUGUGACAGUUAUUCCCUUCAAUUUCUGUUACGACUUCAAAUCACUAUCGCUCACCGAGAGUGCAAGUGAGGAUCCUUCAUCUCGACCUACAUCUCCAGAAGAGAACCCUGAAACAUCGUCCUCACCAUCGAUUUUGUUCCUGCACCUUAAUGCUCAAGAUGUAUCUCACAGAAGAUGGCAGGAUAAUUCAUCAAGGCUACUGGAAGAUAAGCCCACAACAUCCAAUAGCAUGUCUGAUUCAGAUUUCUUAGUCAACAGCUUUACCAAGCCGAGUGAUAAUGCAAGGCCAUCAAGAAGGAAGAGCAAAAAGAAAAGCAAGAAACACAGGCAACGCUGUAGGAAGCCGACUGAUGGAUCUGAAGCUAAAUUCAGAGAGGGCAAUGGUGCUGCCUCUGCAGCUGAUGUUGGUGAUUGUGAAGAUUCGACACUUUCGCCUAAGCAUGUUGGUGACAUACGCUUUGAGGAAACUUCUCCCAGUUCUUCUGUCAAGGAAGCUUCUGAAGAGGCUCCUGAGAGUGAUGAUGAUGAGUACCAUUGCUGCUCAGGUGGUUCAGUUUCGAGUGCGUCCUACUGUGAUGAGAUGGAACUGUCCAAAUCAACAACUUCGUGCCCUGCAUUGUGUGGACAAUGUCCUAGCAGUAACUUACAGUAUUUGGACAACACUCAAAAUUCUGCACCAACAGGUCCAUCUCAAGAAACUUGCUAUGCUGGCAGUAAAGCGAACUGUAACCAUGAUACCAAGUCCCUGUUUAUAUUCAGAAAUGAACGUGGAUCUGAUCCUUGUGAGGCAACAGAGUUUUGCAGCUCUAGCAGUGGAUUUGAUGAGAACUGGAUAGAGAAGUUUGACUAUGAUAGUGGCAUUUGUUCGCCAAAAAGUGUUGGUACAUAUGGUGGAGACCAGGCUGCCCACUUGUGCAGUGACACAACUGGUGACAAUGAUUUCUGUCUUGUAAUAUCUAGAAAGAGGGCCAGAAAGGAGAAGAAAAUGUCAUUGUGGAAGAGUUAUGGAGCGCAUGCAUCCACACCUGCACUUGAUCGAAAUAAAAAAUAUGUUGGCCAUUCUUCAAUGCAGAUGACCAACGAAUUCAACAGUAACGACUGGUCCCAUAGACAAAAUCAUGUUAGCAGGAUACACCCUCAGCAUGGAAAUGCACUGAAAAGCUCCACCAAAAAUUUCAUGCAGAGGCCAAGCAUUGGUUGCAGGGAGACUCAAUAUGGGUUUCCAGCUAAAGAAUCCAAGUUAGGAGCAAGUCUCAAUCAUUCUACAGGUCCAAGAGAAAAAACUUGUGGAAAAUUAACUGGCGGUUUUGAUAAGACAGCACAACAGCUUUAUUUGGACAGAGACCUAUCCAAUGCUCUUAACAGCAGUGAAUCAAUACGUUGUGAGACGAGAUCAAUUUCCUCUUCUGAACCGACAACUCCAAAGUCUUUAAAAGGCAAUUAUACUUCAGAGUCUGGUGAAUCAACAGAUAUUACAAUAGGAGCUCUUCCCAUGCAGAAAAGAAGAUUGCAGGAUUUAGUUCGAACUGAUGAUGCCAGUGAAACUAUUUCUGGGCGAUCAUCACCUUGUUCUGAGUCAUCGACAACUGAAUUAAUUGCUGGACAUAGUACAGAUUCAUCUAUUGAAGGGAACCAUGGCUGUCAAGGGCUCUGUAACUCUAGAACACAUCUAGCCCAGAUGCUCAGGGUUGUAAACGAUGCCUGUAAAGUUCAGGUUGGUGCAGAUGUUCUCCUUGCUGCUGGUUAUCCAAUUUCUGAUCUUGAGAAAUUUAUAUGCUCUGCAACUCCCGUUAUUGGUCGUGCACCUUGCAUGAUAAGCAACACUUGUUCAUUGGACCAAGUAGUUAGUGACUCAGUUUGUCAGCAUGACAUCUCUAAUGUUUCCUUGAGGAGAAUAUGGGAGUGGUAUGAAGAGCCAGGGUGCUAUGGAUUGGAAGUAAAAGCUCUUAGCAAUCUCAGCUCUAAAACAUCCAGCAGCAGCAGUUCAGAGUUCUUUGCAUACUUUGUGCCUUAUCUAUCUGCUAUUCAGUUGUUUGGGUUGUCUAGGAAUAACAUGCAUCACAGUUUUGGUGUGCAAGGGAGGGAAUUACUGAUAUCAUCAAAUACUGCAAGCUCUAUGAGCUCUCAUCCUGUGCAUGCAAAAGCGCAUACACUGCUUGAGGAAAGUAAUGCAUGCUUGCCAGAGUCAUCUUUAGUUGUAGAAGAUCCUGGAGAACUCAUAUUUGAGUACUUUGAAACAGAGCAACCUUCUCUCCGGCCUCCAUUAUUUGAAAAUGAGUUUGUGAGCAAUGGAACUUUUCAUGACCAAGUGACCAUGAGGGAUUUCUUUUUCUGGUAUUGUAUUGGAUCAACUGAUCAGGAUGUUUAUGAAUUAUGGCCUAAAGCAAGAGAACUUAUUUUGUGCCCAUGAUCAAGGAGCUUGUUAGCAGUGCAAAUGUUUCUGACCACCGGGUUUUUGGGGACACUGAAAAAUUGCAAAAUGCGAAAUUGUGUGAGCUUCAUCCAGCUUCCUGGUUCUGUGUUGCCUGGUAUCCUGUUUAUCGUGUGCCUCGUGGGAAUUUCCGUGCGGCAUUUCUUACUUAUCAUUCACUGGGGAAGUUGGUUCAUAAAAAAUGCUCCAUGGAUACGAAUGACGGGCAUACACAAGUAGUUUCACCAGUUGUUGGUCUCCAGAGUUACAACGACAAGGGAGAGCAGUGGUUUCAGCUGAGAUGCCCAGAUUUGAAGCAAUUGCCAAUAGAAGAUUCUUUAAAAACCAGUCCUGCUGAAGUUCAUAAAGAGAGGCUGAGGACGCUGAAGAUGGGUGCAUUGGCCAUGGCAAGAGCUGUUGUCCCAAAGGGAAGUGGGGAGUCGGUGAACCACCAUCCUGAUUACGAGUUCUUCCUGUCUCGUUGCGCCUAGGCUAAGCGGUUGUGAUAUGAAGGAAGAGGGGCUUUUCUGCUUCUAGCUCCUGAAUGUAGUAGUGACCAUGAAAAUGAAAAAAAAACCCAGAGUAGUGACUAACCAGAGACCGGCUAUAGAUACAGUUUAUCUUAGAGAGAGGAGAGCCUGGGGUGAUGCAUAUCACUGACUGUAUAGGAGAUAGACUCGAAUAUUAGAUACUCUAACCUGAUUCCGGAUUACCAAUGCAAACCAAGUUGGUGAGCUGUUGAAGUAUGGCAGUACCCGCGGGAUGGGUGCUUUAUUGGGGCUGGGGGCAAAGAUGAGAAGAUACCACAGAUGAGAUGACGCUGCAGGUGUUCAUCUUUUGUACAAAGACCACACCAGAGGAGCAGCAAGAAAUUUGCUACCAGCAAGAAAUUUGUUAACACAUUUGCGAGGUUGGGCUUUUGUUGUGGCUUGUUUGCUUUGCAGACUUGCAGUGUUGCUGUUUCUAAUCAUGAUACUGUGCUGCUUCUGUUUCUAAUCAUGAUAUUGUACA